UCACAAUUAAAUGAAGGAAAGUUCCAUUGAAAUAUCUAGCUAGAAGCAUGCAAGAAAUUGAGACUAAUUCCAUGAUCCACUGCAUUAAUUAAUAAUAUUAGCGGCUUGAAGCACCUAACUUAGUUCGCUAAUGAUCCCACCUUGGUUUUUUUUCUCUUAUUUAUGUUCUCGUUUUCUAUUGAUGCUGCUUCAAGCUCACUUGAAAGUCUUUGAUUUUCCCGUUUCAAUUUCACGUUUUCAAGCCGCAUUAACUCCAAUUCAAAUUUAUCGUUGAUUGCAUCUUCAGGAGUCUUCCAUAAUAUUUGUAAUAUAUUCCUCCAAACCUUUUCUGCCUUUUCUUCUUCUUCUCGAUUUUUUUUUCUUGCUGAUCCGCGAGGCUGUUGCUGAUGCACCGGACGAAAUCUUUUCCCUUAUGACAUGAUGAUCACUACUGCUGGUGGCGGUAGCUUUGGCUUCAAGAUCAUAAGCCAUAGAGCUAGAAACCGAAUUAAUUAAUAAAUAUAAUUAAUUAAGAUAACUAAAAAAUAAUAAUAAUAAAACAAUGAAGCGCCGCCCUAGACCUUAUUAGUUGAGACUUCGCUUGGGAAGAUGAAGCUAAAACGAAAACAGAAAUAAAUUGGGCACGAAUAUACAACAGAUAAACCCUACCUACCAAAAGAGAAGAGUUAGACCCUUAAGCUACUGCUGUUUGUUAAAAACUUAAGA
rnacentral:lncRNA from 1 species